UACGUAGGGUGCGAGCGUUGUCCGGAAUUAUUGGGCGUAAAGGGCUCGUAGGCGGUUUGUCGCGUCGGGAGUGAAAUCCACUGGCUUAACUGGUGGCUUGCUUUCGAUACGGGCAGACUGGAGGUAUGCAGGGGAGAACGGAAUUCCUGGUGUAGCGGUGAAAUGCGCAGAUAUCAGGAGGAACACCGGUGGCGAAGGCGGUUCUCUGGGACGACACUGACGCUGAGACGCGAAAGCGUGGGGAGCGAACAGG
rnacentral:rRNA from 1 species